GAAACGACUGCUAAGACUGGAUAGUAGACAAGAAGGCAUCUUCUUGUUUAUAAAAGACCUAUUAAUAGGUAUGCUUAGGGAGGAGCUUGCGUCACAUUAGUUAGUUGGUGGGGUAAAGGCCUACCAAGACUAUGAUGUGUAGCCGGGCUGAGAGGUUGAACGGCCACAUUGGGACUGAGACACGGCCCAAACUCCUACGGGAGGCAGCAGUAGGGAAUUUUCGGCAAUGGAGGAAACUCUGACCGAGCAACGCCGCGUGAACGAUGAAGUAUUUCGGUACGUAAAGUUCUUUUAUUAGGGAAGAAUAAAUGAUGGAAAAAUCAUUCUGACGGUACCUAAUGAAUAAGCCCCGGCUAACUAUGUGCCAGCAGCCGCGGUAAUACAUAGGUGGCAAGCGUUAUCCGGAAUUAUUGGGCGUAAAGGGUGCGUAGGCUGUUAAAUAAGUUUAUGGUCUAAGUGCAAUGCUCAACAUUGUGAUGCUAUAAAAACUGUUUAGCUAGAGUAAGAUAGAGGCAAGUGGAAUUCCAUGUGUAGUGGUAAAAUGCGUAAAUAUAUGGAGGAACACCAGUAGCGAAGGCGGCUUGCUGGGUCUUUACUGACGCUGAGGCACGAAAGCGUGGGGAGCAAACAGGAUUAGAUACCCUGGUAGUCCACGCCGUAAACGAUGAGUACUAAACGUGGGGUAAAACCAGUGUUGAAGUUAACACAUUAAGUACUCCGCCUGAGUAGUACGUACGCAAGUAUGAAACUUAAAGGAAUUGACGGGACUCCGCACAAGCGGUGGAUCAUGUUGUUUAAUUCGAAGGUACCCGAAAAACCUCACCAGGUCUUGACAUGCUUCUGCAAAGCUGUAGAAACACAGUGGAGGUUAUCAGUUGCACAGGUGGUGCAUGGUUGUCGUCAGCUCGUGUCGUGAGAUGUUGGGUUAAGUCCCGCAACGAGCGCAACCCUUAUUGUUAGUUGCCAGCACGUAAUGGUGGGGACUUUAGCAAGACUGCCAGUGAUAAAUUGGAGGAAGGUGGGGACGACGUCAAAUCAUCAUGCCCCUUAUGACCUGGCUACAAACGUGAUACAAUGGCUGUUACAAAGGGUAGCUGAAACGCAAGUUUUUGGCGAAUCUCAAAAAAACAGUCUCAGUUCGGAUUGAAGUCUGCAACUCGACUUCAUGAAGUUGGAAUCGCUAGUAAUCGCGAAUCAGCAUGUCGCGGUGAAUACGUUCACGGGGUUUGUACACACCGCCCGUCA
rnacentral:rRNA from 1 species